UAUCCCUUCCGUUUGGGAUAAUCCUACUGAGAUAUGCGCUGGUGGCAACACCGGGGUGUAAAGCUCUCAGGACAACAUGGAGAAAUUUAAAGACUAAAUUAAAUGAACUGUUAGGAUAAGGAUACCAUGAAGAA
rfam:Candidatus Methanoperedens sp. DS-2015 MPEBLZ_contig000105, whole genome shotgun sequence.